ACAACUUUUAACAAUAGAUCUCUUAGUUCUAGCAUUAAUAAAGAACGCAGCGAAAUGCGAUAAGUAGUGUAAAUUAUAGAAUUUAGUAAAUUAUUAAAUCUUUGAACGCACAUUACGCCCCUUAGUAUUCUAUAGGGCAUGCCUGUUUAAGCGUUAUUUGUACCCUUAAGCUCUGCUUAGUGUUAGGUGUUUAUUCUACUUAGGACUUGCCUUAAAACAAUUAGUAGCUAGUAUAUUAGCCUAGAGCGCAGCACAUUUUGCGCCUCUUGUUAUAGUUAUUAGUAUCUAUUAAGACACUUUUUAAGCUCUUAACCUUAGAUUAGGUAGGGAUACCUACUAAACUUAAGCAUAUUAAUAAGUAGAGGAAAAGAAACUAAUAGAGAUUGCCCUAGUAAUAGCGAGUGAAGCGGCAACAGCUUAAAUUUAAAAUCUAGCAUUUUUAGGGUCCAAGUUGUAAUUUGUAGAGGGCGCUUUAGCGUUAGUAGUAGUCUAAGUUCCUUAGAAUAGGACGUUAUAGAGGGUAAGAAUCCUAUACGUGGUUGCUAGCCUUUGCUAUGUAAAGCCCCUUUAACAAGUUAAGUUAUUUAGGAAUAUAGCUCUAAAUAGGAGGUAAAUUUCUUCUAAAGCUAAAUACUAGCUAGAGACUAAUAGCGCACAAGUAGAGUAAUUAAAAGAUAAAAAGCACUUUAGAAAGAGAGUUAAAUAGCACGUGAAAUUGUUAAAAGGGAAGCGCUUAUAGCUAGACUUACCUAUAGUUACUUAUCUAGGCUUUUGUCUAGUGCACUCUUCUACAGGCAGGCUAGUAUUAGUUUAGGUGGUUAGAUAAAGGUCUCUGUCACGUACCUCCCUUUAGAGAGGCCUUAUAGGGGAGACAAUAUGCAACUAGCCUAGACUAAGGUCUGCGCAUCUACUAGGAUACUAGCGUAAUAGCUAUAAGCGGCCUGUCUUAAAACAUAGACUAAGGAGUCUAAUAUCUAUACAAGUAUUUAGGUGUUAAGCCUAGACGCGUAAUAAAAGUGAAUAGAGGUAGGACCCCUUUUAGGGUGCACUAUUAACUAAUCCUAAUAUCUUUAGAAGGAUUUAAGUAAGAGCAUAGCUAUUAGGACCUAAAAGAUAGUAAACUAUGCUUAAAUAGGGUAAAGCUAGAGGAAACUCUAGUAGAGGCUCGUAGCAGUUCUAACGUGCAAAUUAAUUAUUAAAUUUAGGUAUAGGGGCGAAAGACUAAUUAAACUAUCUAGUAGCUAGUUCCUACUAAAGUUUCCCUUAGGAUAGCAGUAACGUAUUUAGUUUUAUAAGGUAAAGCAAAUAAUUAGAGGCCUAGGUGUUAAAAUAACCUUUACCUAUUCUUAAACUUUAAAUAUAUAAGAAGUCCUUAUUACUUAAUUAAACGUGGACACUUAAAUAUACUAUUACUAGUAGGCUAUUUUUAGUAAGCAGAACUAGCAAUACAGGAUAAACUAAACGUAGGGUUAAGGUGCUAGAAUACACGCUUAUUAGACACUACAAAAGGUAUUAGUUUAUCUAGAUAGCAGGAUAGUAGCUAUAGAAGUUAGAAUCCACUAAGGAGUGUGUAAUAACUUACCUACUAAAUAAACUAGCCCUAAAAAUAGAUAGCGCUUAAGCAUGUUACCUAUACCCCGCCGCUAGGGCAAGAUUUAAGCCCUAGCAAGUAGGCAGGCGUGGAGGCUUGUGACAAAGCCUUAGGGGUAACCCUAGGUAGAAUAGCCUCUAGUGCAGAUCUUAGUGGUAGUAGCAAAUACUUAAAUAAGAACUUUAAGGACUAAAGUAGGGAAAGGUUCUGUGUAAAUAGUAGUUAGACACAGGUUAGUUAAUCCUAAGAGAUAGGGUAAUUCUGUUUUAAUAUUAGCGCUUGCGCCGCGCCCUUAAAAGGGAAGCUAGUUAAUAUUCUAGCACCUAGAUGUAGAUUCUCCGCGGCAACGCAACUAAGAGUAGAGACCUUAGCAGGAGCCCUAAGAAGAGUUCUCUUUUCUUCUUAACAGUCUGUUACCCUAAAAUUAGUUUAUCUAGAGCUAGGGUUUAAUAGCUAGAAGAGCGCUAUACUUUUGCAGCGUUUAGUGCGCUCCUAACAAGCCUUAAAAAUCUACUUAAAGAAAUAGUUUUUACGCUAGGUUGUACUUAUAACUAUAGUAGGUCUCUAAGGUAAAAAGCCUCUAGUUAAUAGAAUAAUAUAGAUAAGGGAAGUUAGUAAAAUAGAUCUGUAACUUUAGGAAAAGGAUUAGCUCUAAGGGUUAGGUACGUUAGGCCUUAGGGAGAAGCCUCUAGCGCAGAAGGGCACUAACUACAAGGUAGGCGCCUCUUAGCGCUAGGGUGCAGAUACCCUUAGCAGGUUUUAGCUGUCUAGCGUACGUUUAAUAACUAACUUAGAACUAGUAUAGAUAAGGGGAAUCUAACUAUCUAAUUAAAAUAUAGCAUUGCAAUAGCUAGAAAGUAGUAUUAAUAUAAUGUGAUUUCUGCCUAGUACUCUAAAUAUUAAAGUAAAGAGAUUUAACUAAGCGCGGGUAAACAGCAGGAGUAACUAUAACUCUCUUAAGGUAGCUAAAUACCUUAUUAUCUAAUUAGUAACGCGUAUAAAUAGAUUAACAAGAUUCCUACUAUCCCUAUCUACUAUCUAGCGAAACUAUAGCUAAGGGAACAGGCUUAGCCAAAUUAGCAGGGAAAGAAGACCCUAUUAAGCUUAACUCUAGUUUAAUAUUGUAAAAAGAUAUAGGGGGUGUAGAAUAGGUAGGAGCUUUAGCGCUAGUAAAAUACUACUACCCUUAUUAUUUUUUUACUUAUUCAAUAAAGCAGAGCUAGGCCUUACUACCUAACUUCUAGCGUUUAAGGUCCUUUAUAGGCUAAUCUAGGUUAAAGAUAUUGUUAGGUAGGGAGUUUAGCUAGGGCAGCACAUCUAUUAAACUAUAACGUAGGUGUCCUAAGGGGGACUUAUAGAGAAUAGAAAUCUCUAGUAGAGUAAAAGGGCAAAAGUCCCCUUAAUUUUAAUUUUUAGUGUGAAUACAAACUAUAAAAGUAUAGCCUAUUAAUCCUUUAGUCCCUUAAAAUUUAAGGCUAGAGGUGCUAGAAAAGUUACUAUAGGGAUAACUGGCUUGUGGCAGCCAAGCGUUUAUAGCAACGUUGCUUUUUAAUCCUUUAAUAUUAGCUCUUCCUAUUAUACUAAAGUAGAAUUUAGUAAGCGUUAGAUUGUUUACCUACUAAUAGGGAACGUAAGCUAGGUUUAGACUAUUGUAAGAUAGGUUAGUUUUACCCUACUAAUAACCUUGCCCUAAUAGUAAUACCGCUUAGUACAAGAGGAACCGCGGUUUUAGAUAAUUAGUUUUUGCGGCUAUCUAACUAGGCAUUACUGCAAAGCUACUAUCUACUAGAUUAUAGCUAAACGCCUCUAAGUUAGAAUCUAUGCUAGAACAGGGUAAUUUCCGCCUAUACUAGUUAGAUACAAAUAGGCCUUUAGCCUAGAACCUUACUAGAUUAGCGUUAGUAGCCCUAUUAAAGUUAGAGUUAUUAGCUAGUGUAUUAUAAUUAUACAGUGCGCAGGAU
rnacentral:rRNA from 2 species